UACGAAGGGGGCUAGCGUUGCUCGGAAUUACUGGGCGUAAAGGGCGCGUAGGCGGCACUGUUAGUCAGGCGUGAAAGUCCUGGGCUCAACCUGGGAACUGCGCUUGAUACGGCAGAGCUAGAGGAUGGAAGAGGCUCGCGGAAUUCCCAGUGUAGAGGUGAAAUUCGUAGAGAUUGGGAAGAACACCAGUGGCGAAGGCGGCUAUCUGGACGGUUACUGACGCUAAGACGCGAAAGCGUGGGGAGCAAACAGG
rnacentral:rRNA from 1 species